CUGUUCUGCUGUCUUGCAAGCUGAGUGUUCUUGGGCAUUGUGCCACAUUUUUUUGUCAUAUUUCUUGACCUAAGCUUGGACUUUUAACUUCAAGGAGAGCAGCCAAGUGUCAAAUUUGGCCUUUUCCAAGUAUUGCUUACAGAAGGCCCAGCAAUCCCCUGAAGUGACUGGCAACACUGUCCUUGGGCCAAAUGCAGAAGGCAGCUGCAGAUGGUGCGAUAGAGAGAUAGUGUGCGGAAGGCACCUCCGGCAAAUCCUGGAUGCCCAGGCCCAGCCAAACCACCAGACUCCUGGCUCCUAGUCAAGACCCCAGCCUUCCUCCAUGAAGGCCGUAUGGGAUUGCAUCCAGAUACCUUAGGAGACUGUCUGGCAACCUGUUCCCCCAGCAUGAGGUGCCUCCCUUCUCUGGCCUUGGACUCAGCCAGCACCUGAGGGAAGAAUGCCUGGCAGAAUGAAAGCCUAAGGACCUGUUUGUAUCUUUUCAUCCUUCAGUAGAACUCCACCUUUCUUAGGCUUUUAGAUGAGGCUUUCUGUUCUUAAGUUCACCUUCUGAUGCCAAAUAUGUAGACCUUGGGCCUGUCACUUUGCUCUCCAAGAGAGUCUCAGAACAACCCUCUGGGGACACGUUUUUGGUUUCAGUCUCUUCAGCAGGCAUUAUCCUUUCUUCUGGAGGUAACACCCCAAAGUUUAUUCGUCCAUUCCUAGCUCAGUUCAUGUGGAUCUGGUGGGGAUCCUGCCUCCAUAAGGAGAGUACAACUUGAGACUGGCCAGCCAGCACUUUGCAUUCCCCCAGUCAUGGGGAUUGGUUCAUUGUUGAGCACACAACCCAGGCCUUUUGCUUCAGAGUUGAACACAUGCUUCAAAUUGUUGUAAUUAGAGGAAAUUCUUCAGCUUAUUAUUAGCUCCUGAGGGAAAAUGCUCAGUUUUAAAGUGGAUUUGAAGAAGAAGGACUAGAGCUGUUGGCACCACUUUGUCACCACAUGGAGCCUGAGAAUGAAAGCAACAUGGAGGCAUCAAGUUCCCAGCUCUGGACCUUUGAGCAUGCUUCCGGUUCUGCUUUGAGGCCUCUCUGGCCAUGAUUGCUUCCCUAAUGACCACUGCUUCAGAGAGACCUGCCCCAACUCCACCCGCUGCAGUGGCAUGGUUGUGCCUCUGCACUCUGACAGAAGACUGGCUAUGCAGCUGUCCAGUGUUGAACACAGCCUUGCAUUGUAAUUGCUUAAAUGUCUGUUUCUCCAACUGCUCUAUGACCUUGUUAAAGAUGGGAACCAUGUCUUAGUUUGCUUACCCCUGACAUAGAGGAGCCUCAAUAAAUAAUAAAUCUUAAAAGUUUAAUAAAUAAUGGUCCAGGCUUUUCCCAAAGACAAAGAAGGAAGGAGUUCCCAGUGAAUUGGGCACAGUCCUAAACUGAGUGAGUUAGUCUACAAUGGUGGACAUUUUAUUCCACUGAUUUGUGGAUUGUGGUCAAUUGUGAAUACUUAGAAUGGGUUCAGCCCUCUGCUGGCUGCUGUGUGACAUGUGAAGACAGAGAUGAGACACAUGACUUCCAGCACAUUGUCAUCCGCAGUCCAGUAGAGUGUACAUAAGCAUAGAAAACAGCUAUUAAUAGUAAGGCAACCUGUUUUUAGAAACUUAUAAGAUAAUGCAUUUACCCAGCCAUCAAUCCAUAAGAAAAUACUCAGGUAUUUCUUAGGAAUAGCUAGGUGCUUGUAAAGAAAGAAUCAUGUAUUGAAAAGAAAGCCAACUCAGGUUUGAAUACAGGAUCUACUAUUCACACAUUGUGUGAAUUCGGACAAGUUAAGAAACCUCAGUUGAACCCCAGUUUCUUAAUAUAUAAAAUGAGAUCAUAAUAAAAGAUGAGGCUCAAAUGAGAUUAUGCCUAUGAAGCACUUAACACUAUACCUGACAUUUGGUAGUAUCUCAAGACAUGAUAGUUGAUGUCAUUCUGCAGGAUGUUCAACCUCGAGAUAUUGUGAAUGCUCAGGUAUUUGAUGUUACAUAAACAAGAACAGUAGAAUAUGAACAUUUUCUGUUAUUUUUUGUGGUAAUUUAUUUUUUAACUGUGGAAACACAUUGUGGGCUCAUCUGCCACACUUCUAUGAUAGUGGGGGUCGUUUUUAGUACUCACUCCUGAAUCCUGUGAAUUGCCUUAGUUCCUAGAGGGCCAAACCAAGGCAUUGCAUAUCUGGAUAAAUGUUACCAACAGCCAAGUUCAAGUUUCUACAGGCUCCUUUUGUCUCAUACUUGCUCAUCCACUGCUCUUCUCAGUG
rnacentral:lncRNA from 10 species